rnacentral:lncRNA from 1 species
UGCAGUGAGCCAAGACUGUGCCACUGCACUCCAGCCGGGGCGACAGAGGGAGACUCCAUCUCAAAAAAGAAUGCACAACCCAGCCCCAAAGGCACAGAAAUGUCACUGUCACUUCACAAAGCUCCUUGCAUCCCUGCCCAGUCAAGGUAAGAGAUGAUGCAGUGAGAUUUAAGAGGCUGAAGGCGCGAGUGCCCGGGAAGCCGGGGGGGGGGGGGGGUUGGGCAUGUGGGACCCCCUCCAUGAGGACAGUCGAGGCAUACGGCCUGCAGGUCCACGCUUACUUGCUGUCCAUGCUGUCGGUGUCACAAAGCUGCAUGUUGACCAGCCUAUCUCCCUUUUCUCCUGGCACACCAGAAGACUACAUUUCCUAGGCCCCUUGUAUCAAGGUGGGUCCAUUUGGGUAGUUCUAGCCAAAGCAAAGUAUGAAAAGGAUCUUCACCACUGAGAGGUCUGACCCACUUCAGGGUCACACAAGCACUUCUCGUUCUUGUCCAUGGCACCCUUUGAGGCACACAUUGAAGAAAGCAGCAUCAUAAGGGAGGAGCCUGAGUCUGGGCACCCCAGCUUGCAGAGCACUGCCAGGAACAUCUCCAUUAGGCUUUUUGUGAGUGAGAAACACUCAUAAGAUACUGUGCUCAGCCAAUGAGAGCUUGGGGUUAUUUGAUCCUGCAUAGCCUAUUCUAUUGCAAAUGAUAUGAAAAUCAGGAGUGGGUUUCUGCUGUAGCCAAAAAACAGAAAAAACAAACUCUUGUUGGCUAAGCAGCUGCGUGGCAGGCAAAAAGAAUACAGCUCAUAAGCUGGACAGCAGGAGAUCUAUAUUAUGCAAGUACAAGACAUUUGCUAAGACUCUCAUGCUAACUUGGGAGGCAGGUUAUGUGCCCCAGAGACAGCAGCUCUAGGGGAAAGGGACAGGCCAGAUAGGAUGUGCAGUGUGAGUUGGCUACUGUUGACUGCAUUUUGGAAUGCUAUCACAGUAAGGAGGAAAGAACUGGCUAGUUUGCAAGCAGAAAUGAAAGGCAACAAUCUAAAAAAAAUUAGCAUCAAAAGGUUGCAAAAGACUUUCUCAAACUCUAAUGAGAAAAGGUAAGAUUCAAAAUUGCUUUCAGCAAUAAAGGCAUAAUAAAACUUCUCAUCUGAACAAAAUAACUUGGUCUUUUGGUAAAUACGGAAUUAAGGGGGUGGCUCUCCCAUCAUGAUCCCAGAUGGCCUCAUGGUAGCUACCAUUAAAUUGAGAGAAGCAUGGAGGUAAGGCAGCAAGGAAAUAAGGCAGCUUAUGUCUAGGAAAGAAUUUUAUGUGUGUGCUUGAGUUGUCCAUUGCUGUGUAACAAAUUACCCCAAAACUUUGUCACUUAAAACCACUAUCAUUUAUCACUCAUGAUCCUACAGGGGACUGGGCUCAGCUGGGUGGCUAUGCUACACUUGAUUCUGGCUAGAGCUAUUCCACUGAGCUGACCAAGAUGAUUACUCACAUGGUGGGCUGUUGUCUGGGGCUCAUGGGGGCUACUGACAGAACACCUCCGUUCUCCCCCAUGUGGCCUCUCCAUGUGUUUGAAGUUCUCAUAGUACGACAUGUGGGCUGCCAGCAGAACAUGCCAAGAGGUCAAGCUCCAUGUGCAGGCAUUUAUCAAGCCCCUCCUGCCAUCAUGGCACUGGCCCCAUCUAGUCAUAUGGCCACGCCCAUCAGGUGACGGAGACCACACUGGGAGACAAGGUCCAUCAGGGGCCACCAAAGUAACACUCUGACCAAAAUAAUGCAGUUAUUUGUACAUGGAACUGAUUAGAAGUACAAAGAUUGCCACAUUUUUGAUGGAAGUGUGCAAAGUCCAUGAGCCUGGACUGAAGCCUCUGGCUCACUCAAAACAGGUCCUGGCCUGGAACCAUCCACCCACAGGCAGCAGGUGAGAAAGCUGAGCUUGGCCCAAGAGCUGCAGCCAAGGGAAUACAAAAAAGGCCAGCUCCCCACCAGGGGGCAGAGCCCAGAGCAGGGCACCAUCAGGUCCUUUCCCUCCUCACCGCAAGGCGACCUCAGUCUGUGCGGCAGCUUCCAGCACUGUGGGGCAGUCUCCCAUUCUCUGCUCCUCCAAAUGGAGCUGGACUGUGGGUACUGACCCCUGCCCUGCUUUGUUGUUAUUGUUGGGGGAAGGGCACAGAUCAUAGGUCUUUCUAGUUUAUAGGCUGUGUCUGCCUUGCUGGAGAAGGCUCUGUACUCCACAGAGCCCAGGACACAGGACCUUACUGUCUAUGUUUGAGAAGAAGACUGAAAUAACUCUCUGGGAGCCAGACAGUCCGCUGUGAUAGAGACUGGCAAUGUUAACCAAGCCCAUUUCCCCACCUCCC